UGGGGAAUAUUGCACAAUGGGCGCAAGCCUGAUGCAGCCAUGCCGCGUGUAUGAAGAAGGCCUUCGGGUUGUAAAGUACUUUCAGUCGGGAGGAAGGUGUCAAGGUUAAUAACCUUGGCAAUUGACGUUACCGACAUAAGAAGCACCGGCUAACUCCGUUCCAGCAGCCGCGGUAAUACGGAGGGUGCAAGCGUUAAUCGGAAUUACUGGGCGUAAAGCGCACGCAGGCGGUUGAUUGACUCAGAUGUGAAAUCCCCGGGCUUAACCCGGGAAUUGCAUCUGAUACUGGUCAGCUAGAGUCUUGUAGAGGAGGGUAGGAUUCCAUGUGUAGCGGUGAAAUGCGUAGAGAUGUGGAGGAAUACCGGUGGCGAAGGCGGCCCCCUGGACAAAGACUGACGCUCAGGUGCGAAAGCGUGGGGAGCAAACAGG
rnacentral:rRNA from 1 species